rnacentral:rRNA from 1 species
UACGUAGGGGGCAAGCGUUGUCCGGAAUUAUUGGGCGUAAAGAGCGUGUAGGCGGUCCGGUAAGUCGGCUGUGAAAGUCCAGGGCUCAACCCUGGGAUGCCGGUCGAUACUGCCGGACUAGAGUUCGGAAGAGGCGAGUGGAAUUUACGGUGUAGCGGUGAAAUGCGUAGAUAUCGUAAGGAAGACCAGUGGCGAAGGCGGGUCUCUGGACAGUUCCUGGACGCUGAGGCACGGAAGGUCAGGGGAGACAAAC